CUCAGCGUGUCCCAUGGUCUGAAUUCAUUCUGCGGUCCUCAAGAUCCACUGGUGGCGCGUGUGAUGGGGCCUGGGUCUGCCUGGUCGGCAGGCCUGUCUCUUGAGCUUGGAUGGAACGGACAAGGUGUGUCUCUACUCUGAGCCGGAAAGGAAACAAGAAUACAGUAGCUCUCUGUUUUAGAAGUGCUCUGUGCAAAUGUGGUUGAAAAAGCAGCUCCCCAUUACUAAACAGGCGCAUGUCAUCUCCUCCUUCCUCACUGUGGAAUCUGAGCCUCUGAGAAGUGAGGUAACUUGCCUAAGUCUGCCAGAGGACUGAGACAUUGUAAGUAGAUUCAAACGUGUGCAUCUGCCUGAAGAAGGACUCAGUGUUCACUGGUACAUGGUUGUGUCAGUCCUGCAACUUCCCUCUUCUUAAACGCUUUCUGCGUUUCCAGGAGGAGACACACAGAAGAGAAAGAUGAAUGGAUGUUUUAUAUAAGACCUGUGGAAGAGGAAGCUGUUUGCUGCCCAAGGCUGAUUUUCUCAAGAAGAAAUGAAUCUAUGACUUUGAUAAAACCGCCUGGGAAG